rnacentral:lncRNA from 1 species
UUUAUUUUGUUUAAACCUUACAUGGCAUUACACAAUGAAGAUACCGCAACAUAGUUCACCAAGUAAAAAUUAUUAAAAAAUAACCAUUCCAUGGUGCAUGACUAGUCACGAUCCUUGAAGAUGCACUCGUGACUUGGAGAUAAAUUCCAAUUGUUCCACUCAGAUGAAUUAACACUUUUGAAUAACCCACUAGGCCACGGAUUGUAUCCAUAGUUUUCUUCUCUUUCACCAAGUAAAUCCCUCAUCAAUUGUGCAUUGGAAUUUUCAGCAUCUUCAGCUGUGGCAGGUGCACAUGUAGGUGUUGGUUGGUUCUGGGAAUCUGGAACAGGUUGGGCAUCUGAAUAUGGGUGGUUUUGUUCCACAAAAGUGUAAAUCUCUGGAUAUGUAACGUUAGGAUUUUUGUCAACCAUAAAAAACAUGUUAUGGACAUCCUCAUCAUGACAAAGAUUGUAAGGUGAGUAACUGACACACCCACAGAAAUUAGAUAUCGGGCAUCACCAUUGAAGAGCGGAUACAUGCUCUUCAGUGGAGCUGCAAAUCUUAGUUUCAAUGAUCUCCUUCAGUCCUAGACUAAUGCUCUUAUAAACUCACACUGACUUCAUCUUACCAUCUUUGUAUGACAAGCCAUGUUCGCCAUUCAAAACCGUUUCCCCAGAAAAUAGACAAACACAAAGGUCGCUAUGGAAUUCAUAGCAACCAAAUUGAACCGGGACUUUGACUCGUGGGAGGAAAUGUAAGGGAACCUAAACUUUAGACCAGGAUUCAUGCACAAAAUACUUC